GUCCAACUCAAACAGUACAUUAACUCUAAUGCUAUCUAAGCUGAAGAAUUCUGCCACCUAAUGGAUAAACUGUGCUAUCACUGCCAACUCAAAUACAGCACAAAGUACCUUUACCAGAUAUACAGUUAUACAGUUAUAUACGUUUAUCUGCAUAAACAGUGGUUCAAAAACACAUAAAUACUAUUAUUAUUAUUAUUAUUAUUAUUAUUAUUAUUAUUAUUAUUGUUAUUGUUAUUGGUAUUGUUAUUAUUGUUAUUAUUGUUAUUAUUAGUUGCGGUUAAUUCUUAUUCAUUUACAACCAUUGGUUGACAUAUAACUCGUUACGCCCAACCCAGCGCCUGCUUUUACCGUUAAGGCCCACCCUCCAAUCAGCUUGCUGAUUAGACUCUGAUGAUCGUUGAUCCCUGGAUCUGUCUGAUGGCAUCAUGGACCCCACAGUGAUCCAGACUGGAGAGGUGCCGCUGGUGGUGGUGGUUAGUAGUGUGGUCACUCUGUGUUUGCUGGUGAUCACUACACUGUGGAUGUGCUGGAAGAUGAAGGCGGGGCUCAGCAGCCAAUCAGACGAGAGUGAUGACACAGACGAGUUGAAACCCCCUGAAAAUGAUUUGCCCACAGAAACACCCCAAACAGAGGAUUUUGAGCUGCCUCAGGACGAUCAGGACGAACCGCCGGACGAAGACAAUAACGAAGAAGAACCUGAAGAAGAAGAUAACGACAGUUGAAGCAGUGUGUGUUCUAGGGCGUCACAUCAAUGUCAAAAGUCAGGGGAGCAAAAACAACAGGUGAAAAAAAUUAACCAGCAUGUUUUAACAUUUUGUGCAUAUAAAUGAACUUCUUUUUCUCCUCUCGGGUUUUUUUUUCUCUCGAAUUCACAGUUCUCCUCCUACUGUUGUUUUUGCGCUCAAGUUUUUUUGACAGUUGACAGGGUCGCCUCCCUCAGCAAAUGCUAUUGGCUGAUAUCUCUAGGGUUUGUGACGGACCACCUACUAACAACAGCUGGAAGAGUUAGCUAACUGGCUAUGCUAACAUCCAAACAACCCGCUCUCCGGCACGCCGACUCUGUCUGCCUGGGUUAGCUCCUCGAGUGACCGUCUAUCAGCCAAUAGCAUUCGCUGAGGGAGGCGACCCUGACCCCGCCCCCAAACUGUCAAAACCACCCCUUUCAAAACUAGAGCACAAAAAACUCACUCGAGUGAAAACAGCAGCACGAGGUAAACUGUGAAUUUGUGAGGAAAAAGAACACCCGAGAGGAGAAAAAUGAUGCUCGAGAGAGAUAUUCUAUUCAGCGCGCACACGAUUCCCUUUUUUUUGCUCGCGAGUUUCACAUUUGUGCUCACGAGAAGUACAUUUACACACUCAACAUGUUAAAACACGCUGGUUAAUUUUUUUCACCUGUUAUUUUUCUGCCCCCGACUUUUGACAUUAAUGUGAUGCCAUAGUGUUCCACCUCCAGCUGCCACUGAUCAUUUUAUUUUAUUUUAUGACUGGAAUACUUCCUUUACAUACAUAAAUAAACCUACCCAAAAGUAUCUGGACA
rnacentral:lncRNA from 1 species